UUUAAAAAGCUCAUACCAAAUGGAAAAUCCAAAAUGGUAAUUGCUUUACAAACAUCAUUUCUGUCCAGAAACUUGGAAAAAUUCUAGAGGAAUAAUGGCUGGGUUAAACAUGCCCAGAAUGGGUGGAGGUAAGUUAUAUGGAUAAUAUAAGGCCUAGAAAAAUUGGCAGCCAUAAUGGAGCAAGAUAAAAUAUACUGGCUUCACAAACUGAAAUUUUUGGACAGAAUCAAAGAAUUGAAGACGAGCGCACAUGGAGGCAUUACAUGAGCUCUACUUUGGUGGAGGGCUAUGAUAUGAUGAUAUGAGGCACCAUGCAAAAUUGCAACUCAUUUGGAUAUGCCUAGAUUGCACCUCCUGCACAAAGCUUCUUUCUGGAUAGAAACUUUGGAAAAUCAUAAUUAAAUAAUUACUAGGCAAAUGAGGCUGCAUUUUGGCAUGCGGAAAUUAUAUGGACAUGAAAAGGUGUCCAAGGAGUUUGAGGUCAAUUGGGAAAAGGAAAAUAGCACUUGCUUCACAAUGUGCCAUUUAGGGCAGAAUAGGAAAUGAAUUAUUUGAGCAUGAUGAUAAACAUGACAAAUGAAAUAUUUUGCCAUAUUUGAGAAAUAUAUGACCCAAACAAUUUAUGAGAAUUAUUUGGUAAUUUUAGGAGUGAUGUAAAUAAAGGUUGCUUCACAACCUAGGGCAAUUUGAGUUAUUCCUUUAAUAGAAAAGGAAUAUUCCCAAUAAAAAGAAUAUUGGGAUUUGGGCUAGGAUGAAAAUGACAGGGUCUAGGGAAGGAUUUGGGUAUGACAAGCCACUCCGGAAGCAAAGAAGAGUUCAUCUUCUUCACUUUCCAGACCACAAAGCCACGGGAAAAAAAGAAAACUCAAGCAAAAACCUCCGAAAAACAAAAGAAAAAGAAAGGGCCAAAAAUUAGGCUGUUACAAACCUUACCCCCUUAAAGAAAUCUCAUCCUCGAGAUUUGGUUGCUCAGGGAACAAGUAUGAAGAUACUGACUUAAGGAGACCGUUUCCAACUCGGGUAUCCUUUUUCUUAUUUUUGUUCCCACUAAAUUUUUAUCUGACUGGCCCUGGGGUGGUUUGCUUUAAUAUACCCAUAUUCUGACAGAUCUUACCUUGCUUGUUCAUGCUUAUACAUGCUCCAAUUUCUUUUUAGAUCUGCUGACUUAGCUGACUGUGAUUGAUUCUCACGACUGAAAUAUAUGUCGGUCUCACAAAUCCAAGAGCGAUUUUCGCUGGGUGUGUCAUCCGGCACUGACAAUCUUUCAUGAAGUGGUGAUCAGAUUUUUCUAGUGGACACCCAAAUCCUAACUCCUUGUAUUGGGUUUCUCCACUAAAUGCAGGUCCUUCGGGUUCCAAACAGUGAGUUGGGUCAUAACCGUUUUCCCGACAGCUUCUAGCUUAUCGCAGAAGUUUCUGAAUCAUCUGAACUGGUUCCACUGUCUUGAGUAUCGGAUCCGUACCAAAUAUUUGAUUGUCACCUGUCGUGGCUAGCAUAAGAGUUUGAACUGUAUGAUAAUAUCUGCAGACUUGACUAACGGUGGUUCUGCACCACGCGGGUCUUGCAACAGUUUUCAUACCUGCAUCACUGGUCUUGCUCCUUCAUUAUUGUUUUCUUGGCCUGGAUCCUUGGCUGAAAGAGCUGGGUCAUAUUGCUUCUUCAUAUCACCAUAGGUACUGUCGGUGCAAUUUUUCGGCAAUCGCAGCUUAUCCCCAUUUUUCUGACAGGGUACCCCAUUAAAUGGCAGGUUCAACACCCCUCAAGUUCUGGCCGCAGGAAAAUGAUCAUCCGAACCUUUGCAAGAAAUUGACAAAUAAAUCAGUAGCCACCAGAACGGUCUUUACAACUCAGAUCUGGGACAUUACUGAGAUAACUUAACCACGGCUCAAGACGGCCGAAAAGCAGCUCAGAACAUGAGACCGGGUUGAUAAGAAGAAGGUGGCAGCUCCCUAAAAUAGCCAAAAAGCAACUAUAGGGCUACUGUCACAAAAAGAAACUCAACAGCUGUACGAGACGGCCGAAAAGCAGCUCAGAACUCGUGACAGUCGUUGAAGAGAGAAAUAAAAAUCGGCAUCCACCCCGGAUAGCUAAAAACAGCUUAGAUCACGGGCGUGGUGCCGUCAUUGGAGAAAAAGGGGACAAGGGCUCAUCAGGAUCAUUUUCCAGGUUCACAGGUACUUGUAUUGAGCUCAUUGAUGUCGUCAAUCCUCAUAAUCCCUUUGUCACACUGCGGUGUAUACUGGCUUUCUUCUCUUAACCAUCCUCACGUGGUUGUCAGAUCCUCAUCCAAGUGACUUGUAAGAUCUUGGUGGUAUGCUCACCGCAUAUAUAUGAGAAUCUGAUUCCCGAGACAUACGUGUAUUCUGACUGAUUCUUGCUUCUGACCCAAAAUGUUGCGGAUCUGAUUCUUGGGAUUCACUGCCAUACGCUGUCAAUUCACAGCGUACUACCUUGUACCAAUGUCUUACUGAGGAAGAUUGGCUGCUUGUGCUCGAAACUUUCAUCGGACAACUUGCUGAAGAAGACUAGGUAUCGUGCUUCAGAAGCUUACCCCCUUAAAGACUUUGCUGGGGAAAGACUCAGUACCUUAUGCCGGAAGCUUUUCUGGUUGCCUACUGAAGAAGGCAGAGUACCUUGUACGGGAAAUCAUCCAUGUAUCGUACUAAGGAAGAUAGAUGAAUCUUUCCUUGGAAGCUUCUCGGGUAUCUUGAGAGGGAAGAUUGGGUUGCUUACACCAGAAGCUUCUUAUUGUGAUAUGCGGACCGAUUGCCACAUAUAACCAUCUUAAUAUUUUUGUUAUUGAUUUCUUGUAUGAAACGGGGUUUUGCAGGACUAUCCUCCUUUCUUAGAACAUGCCAUAUUUUUGCUUGCUUCCAGGUACAUCGGGUUCCAAAAUCAUCCUCAACGAACAAUUGAACUUGUAUCUGAGCCAUACCUUUGAUAAUAUUCUAUCAACCUUGCACACAAUUUAUCUUCUUGCUGAUUUGAUUAUUUCUACUAUGAGGAGUACACGCUGAGGGAGACUUGACACUCAGUAACAUGAUCAGAUAUCCCUCAAUCUGAAUGCAGUCGGUUGAGAAUUCCAUACUGUUGUGAGGAGUGCACGUUAAUGCAAACUUUAUACUGACAUUCCAUCCAGGAUUUCUUUUGUAUUUAGACGAGCUAUUUCCAAUUUCACUGCAGUCUGCUGACAAUUCCAUUUUGUUUAGGUGAGUUUCCAAAUAUAUGCAUUUCUUGCUGACUCUUCGGGUCUGGUGUCGGCUGACGAGCAACUUUAAUAGGGGAAAAUUUGUAACACCGAAGGCCCAAAGAAAGAAACGACUAAAACAAAAGCACCCAAGCAUACUACUAAUAUAAUUAAUCAAGCAAUCAUCACAUAUUACUGCUACUCACACCAUAAUAUGCAUGCACACCUAAGCACACAAAUCGCGCGGAAACUUCGGUAUUACGGUCUAAUAUGUUGUGGCGGUGUGCAUCAAAAUUAUAUCCAUGUGUGGAAAGAGUUGGCGUAACCGAAGCUACACCAAGCACUGGCUGAACAGUGGCUGGAUCUGGAUGGAUACACAGGUGAGAAUGGACUUGACGAUCAAGUAGCCAGACACAAAAGUCACGACCACCUCAUCAUCAAGCGUAUGAAGGGAAUCAUACCCGUCCAAAGAAUGAAAUGACAUGGCAAGAUAACAGUGGAAGACUGGGUUUAUUGGCAUUGCCCUUUUCUGAUAACAAAGAUCAGCAAGGGUUGCCAAGGGGACGAGAUGGAGGGCAUGGAUGAUGAUGUGGUCGCAUCACACCGAGGAGCAGGCAUGCUAAGAAAGAUGGUGCAGGCGGUGGACCGAAAACGAUGCCACCUACACUCACAACAUUAACCGGUAGUGACAAAAUAACAAUCUAUAUGCAUGCUAUGCGACAAAUAAAUGCAACAAUCAAGUGCAACAAACCAACUGGGGGCUAUACUACCGCUUUCUAAUGUUCGCGCGGGCUAGGGCAUCCUACAGCCAGACCUGCUCUGAUACCAAGCCUGUGGCACCCCGGCUAAGAGAAAACCGGAACGCCCCGUAUUCCAGCCCGGAGAUCGAGGUGAAGUCUUCUGGAAUACGGCACUUCUUAGCAUUGAACAAACCAGCUUACUAUUAUUACACGAAUAUGAAUACAAUGUCUCCGAUAUUACAAUGAAUAACAUCGGCACGACGACACUACACUAUCCUCAGUUGCUCUAUGCAAGCAGCAUAACAAGUUGAGGCAGCGAAACAACUACUGGCAACGGAACAACGAAUGGCGAUGAUGGACUCCAAUCCGCAGGGACUCUGGUUGGAACACUUAUCCUAGCUCGCGAACACAGGAACAACACCAAACAAUCAAGCAAUCCAGGCACGACCUACAAGCUGGCAUGACACGCCAGGUUAGUACAUUGAAUCUACUUGCAAGCUCACAAUAACCAGACGCAUUCAAGACAAACAACAGCAUGGCAAUUACAGGUUAAUCAGGGAUUAUCAUGAGAUCAUCAGGAUAACAUGACAUGAACAAUAUGAACAUAAUAUCGCUAGGACAAUAUAUGAUCAUGGCAUGAACAUAUAAAUCUGAUGAUACUAGCAUGCAACAUGAUGACACACAUGCACCAUUUAUUCUGUUCGGUUUACCUCGUAACCAUCACAUGCAUCACUUACCAACCUCGGACAUCACACGAUCAUCUCAGGAUCAAAUCAAGCUUGGUAUAAACAAUACCGUAGUAAUCAUUAAAUGACCACAAGGAGAUUGAUUUUUACCCAUGAUUCUCGCACAACAUCACGAAUGUACAACAACUCGGUGAUCAUUCAUGGAUCACAAACGGAACCACUCUGGGUUCAACGGGCUACCUCGUAACCAAACGGUGAUCUUUCCGGCGAUCACAACCAUGACCAACACUUGGUCUCAAACGGUAAUCUUUCCGGCGAUCACAACCAACUUAUCUCAUCAUCGAACCGGGGUUGUCAUUAAUCAAGUUAUUAUUAAUACUGUUGACUCACAGUGGAACCGACUACGAACUGGGCCCUUAUCCACGGGCGCGGCUAUCGAUAGAUUUAAUAUACACUCUGCAGAGGUUAGUACACUGUACCCACACCACGGAACCCAUGGCCUCGCACUCCCAUUCGGGUGGACCAACGGCGUUCCGACAAAACCGAUCUACUGCCAUGACACUCUCCCGGCCACUCCGACUCACUCCCCAUUGGGCUAGUCCAAGGUGGCCCCGUGUCUACCAAAGACACAACGACCACCGUCGUGGUCCAUCCAAAACAGGGACAAAAGCGCUUAUCAUCCAACCUACGGGCACACAAGGUUAUGUCCGCCUACCUGAUCAGGGUAAGCACGCCCAUAACCUUCCCUAGUUGGAGGCACCGGCGAGAGACACGACAAUAGACCCAGUUAGGACCUUCCCAUACCGGCAAGUGUGGUUGCACUGGUCAGCUCGAUAUGGUGGCACCAUGACUCAGCCAACAGUUGUUCAAGUUCAAUUUAAUCUGGUUAAACUUGAAUGCAAAUAUGCUGAGCCAUGAUAAAAUAACAUGAUGCAAUUGCAAAGCAUGAGCAUGAUAUCAACAUAAGCAUGAGAGUACGACAUAACUAUCCACUAUAUCAACAAUGAAUCAUAUCCAACUGAGCAUGGCAUACUGACUAACAUGAACAUCACAAGUACAUACUUCUCAGAAACAUAGCAUGACCACUAGCAUCAACAAUAAAUAUCAUGCAAGAACAUAACAACAAUGCAAGCGUUUAACCAACGGGAUGCAAUGAAACAUGCAUAACAACGACACUCGGAAUAGACGAUAGUCAUGCACCGAAGACGAUUACCGACAUCAACAUGUACUUCUAGCAAGCAUAAGCAUAUGAAAGGAAUACUGGCAACUAGCAGGGCAUGAUAAUCAGGUGCAUAACAACAUAGCAAGAAAGUAAGCACUAACCCAGAAGCAACAACGAUAACCAUAUUUUAAACAAGCAAACUUUUAAUAAAUAUUCAAGUUGAAAACUAGGGCCACUGCAUGACUAUCAUGCAAGUGGGUAUUGUGGCUUGCUUGGGGGUGAAGAAGGCACCGGGAAGGAGUGCGGUGAAGCCGCAGAAAGACUUGCCGGAAACAGUUCUCUCUCGGAGGGGCUGUUUACGUGCAAGGGCAAAAAGGUCAUUUUCACAGUGUCAAACCAUACUGAAAAUGGAACCAAUAGAACGGGCUCGAUGAAACGAAGACAUGGGCUUUGGAAUCACCUCAUUUGGAGUUGUGGUUAAAAAGAUACGAAGGGUUGAAGUUCAGGGACUCUGCAAAAAUAUCAUCACAAACAAGUCCCUCAGUGGAUAAGACAGAGGCGCAACUUUAGAAAUCCGCUUUCUGAUUAAGAAAACGCAUUCUGGGCUGAAACAGAGAGGAAAUACGCUUCCUCUAAAAGAAAACGUACUCAGGGUAAUGUAUGCGUUCUUUACGCGAAAACGUACUGGCGUGUUUUACGCCUCCACUUAAACACGUGGCAGAGGCGGGGCAGGGGCUUGAGCAGCUGACGUGCGGGUCCCGCGGGUGGGGCCUGUCACUUAUCUAGGUCAGCGUGGCAAGGCCGGGCUCUGGGUCGAUGACGCGUGGGGCCCGCCGCAUCUUCUCUCUCCUCCCACGCCUCUUUCUUCUUCCCCCCGGGUCUGCUCCUCCUCUCCUCGACAGAACGCAGGGCAGGGGCGCUGCCGUCGCCAGGCACGGCGGCUCCGGCCAUCUCUGGCCAAGGGAAGGCCACCGGCAAGCGCGACGCGUCCCACCGCAUCCAUCCAGAGAGGAAACGAGCGCCGGGGAGAAGCGGGAUGGCGGCGAGGGGUUGCAGCGGCCGAGGCAGAGGCGGCGGCUCACCUUGGGAGCCGCGGCCACAUGCACUCCGGCGACGAACGAAUGGGUUGGGGAGGCUCUACGGGGCACGUAGGAGACGAUGGUGGUGGUGGAACGGAGGGAACGGGCUUGGUUCGCCGGAAUCGAAGUGGACAGAGACGGCGGCCAUGGCGGCGAUGGUGGACACAGAGAGCUCCUCGAGCUCGUUUGAGAGGCUGGGCGGGACCGCAGGAGAGUGGUGAGGCUGGUGGUGAGCUCGGAGGCACUCGGGGUGGGCUUAUAUAGCCGCGGGGCGAGGUCCUGCGCUGGCGUCGCCGCGGACACGCGGCCGGCGCCGCGGACGCGUGUGCACGCGCAUGGGCUCGUCGGGAAGGCGACGGGGAGACGCAGGGAGGAGCCCACGGGGCAGAGAGAGCCCACGGAGCAUGGGGAGGAAGAAGACGGCGACGAACAGAGCCAAUUGUCCGCUGUUAGUCCGUGGGCGCGCGGCGGCUUGCGUCGGUGAGGAAGCUGCCAGAGGGGGAGUGGGGUCCAGGUGAUCGGCGACGACGAGAGGAAGACAAUGGACAUGCUCACGCGCGCUAAGACGACGAGGGGGAGAGGGGCCCGAGCAAGAAUCCAUCCUGGGCACGGCCAACGGCAGCAGAGCGCGCGCACAGGCUUGCCAUUAACGCGGUCACCGCGUGCACUGGCAUGUAUCGGGGGAGAUGAGCUGGAGCGUGUUGUCUAGUGGCAAGCUCAUCCAGGGGAGGUUCCUACUGCGGUGGUAGUUUGGUUAAAAUCGCUUUGGUUAAAUGGUAAUCAAGCUCUGAAGUUUACUGCAGUAAACUUGGGGUCAAAGGAGUUGUCUGGGAGGUUUAACUAAGGAAGAACUACAAUACUGGAGAUUUAGAGAAUAAAUGGACCAAUAAAUAAUAGGGUUGCUUUGCAACUGCAUUUUUGGUCCAGAAACUUGAUUUGGAUGAUGCACUCACAUGGAGUUAUGGAAUGUGAUGCAACUUGGCAAAUCCUCAUGAUAUGUACAUAUAAAGAUGCUUUAAAAAGCUCAUACCAAAUGGAAAAUCCAAAAUGGUAAUUGCUUUACAAACAUCAUUUCUGUCCAGAAACUUGGAAAAAUUCUAGAGGAAUAAUGGCUGGGUUAAACAUGCCCAGAAUGGGUGGAGGUAAGUUAUAUGGAUAAUAUAAGGCCUAGAAAAAUUGGCAGCCAUAAUGGAGCAAGAUAAAAUAUACUGGCUUCACAAACUGAAAUUUUUGGACAGAAUCAAAGAAUUGAAGACGAGCGCACAUGGAGGCAUUACAUGAGCUCUACUUUGGUGGAGGGCUAUGAUAUGAUGAUAUGAGGCACCAUGCAAAAUUGCAACUCAUUUGGAUAUGCCUAGAUUGCACCUCCUGCACAAAGCUUCUUUCUGGAUAGAAACUUUGGAAAAUCAUAAUUAAAUAAUUACUAGGCAAAUGAGGUUGCAUUUUGGCAUGCGGAAAUUAUAUGGACAUGAAAAGGUGUCCAAGGAGUUUGAGGUCAAUUGGGAAAAGGAAAAUAGCACUUGCUUCACAAUGUGCCAUUUAGGGCAGAAUAGGAAAUGAAUUAUUUGAGCAUGAUGAUAAACAUGACAAAUGAAAUAUUUUGCCAUAUUUGAGAAAUAUAUGACCCAAACAAUUUAUGAGAAUUAUUUGGUAAUUUUAGGAGUGAUGGAAAUAAAGGUUGCUUCACAACCUAGGGCAAUUUGAGUUAUUCCUUUAAUAGAAAAGGAAUAUUCCAAAUAAAAAGAAUAUUGGGAUUUGGGCUAGGAUGAAAAUGACAGGGUCUAGGGAAGGAUUUGGGUAUGACAAUCCACUCCGUUAGCAAAGAAGAGUUCAUCUUCUUCACUUUCCAGACCACAAAGCCACGGGAAAAAAAAGAAAACUCAAGCAAAAACCUCAGAAAAACAAAAGAAAAAGAAA
rnacentral:lncRNA from 1 species